rnacentral:misc_RNA from 1 species
GAUGAAGAACGUAGCGAAAUGCGAUACGUAAUGUGAAUUGCAAAUUCAGUGAAUCAUCGAGUCUUUGAACGCACAUUGCGCCCCCUGGUAUUCCGGGGGGCAUGCCUGUCCGAGCGUCAUUGCUGCCCUCAAGCACGGCUUGUGUGUUGGGCCCCGUCCUCCGAUCCCGGGGGACGGGCCCGAAAGGCAGCGGCGGCACCGCGUCCGGUCCUCGAGCGUAUGGGGCUUUGUCACCCGCUCUGUAGGCCCGGCCGGCGCUUGCCGAUCAACCCAAAUUUUUAUCCAGGUUGACCUCGGAUCAGGUAGGGAUACCCGCUGAACUUAAGCAUAUCAAUAAGCAGAGGA